rnacentral:rRNA from 1 species
GAUGAACGCUGGCGGCGUGCCUAAUACAUGCAAGUCGAGCGAACGGACGAGAAGCUUGCUUUUCUGAUGUUAGCGGCGGACGGGUGAGUAACACGUGGAUAACCUACCUAUAAGACUGGGAUAACUUCGGGAAACCGGAGCUAAUACCGGAUAAUAUUUUGAACCGCAUGGUUCAAAAGUGAAAGACGGUCUUGCUGUCACUUAUAGAUGGAUCCGCGCUGCAUUAGCUAGUUGGUAAGGUAACGGCUUACCAAGGCAACGAUGCAUAGCCGACCUGAGAGGGUAAUCGGCCACACUAGAACUGAGACACGGUCCAGACUCCUACGGGAGGCAGCAGUAGGGAAUCUUCCGCAAUGGGCGAAAGCCUGACGGAGCAACGCCGCGUGAGUGAUGAAGGUCUUCGGAUCGUAAAACUCUGUUAUUAGGGAAGAACAUAUGUGUAAGUAACUGUGCACAUCUUGACGGUACCUAAUCAGAAAGCCACGGCUAACUACGUG